AGUCAGCCUUUCCUUUGGGGCUUUGAAGCCAGGAAUUGACUUCUCUCUAGCUAUGAAAGUCCUAGAUGGCAUCUUCUUCCAAUAGAAGACCGUUUUGUCUACAUUAACAAUCUGCUGUUU
rnacentral:miRNA from 1 species